UGUUUAUUUUACCUUGUUGCUUCGGCGGGCCCGCCUUUACUGGCCGCCGGGGGGCUCACGCCCCCGGGCCCGCGCCCGCCGAAGACACCCCCGAACUCUGUCUGAAGAUUGAAGUCUGAGUGAAAAUAUAAAUUAUUUAAAACUUUCAACAACGGAUCUCUUGGUUCCGGCAUCGAUGAAGAACGCAGCGAAAUGCGAUACGUAAUGUGAAUUGCAAAUUCAGUGAAUCAUCGAGUCUUUGAACGCACAUUGCGCCCCCUGGUAUUCCGGGGGGCAUGCCUGUCCGAGCGUCAUUGCUGCCCUCAAGCCCGGCUUGUGUGUUGGGCCCCGUCCUCCGAUUCCGGGGGACGGGCCCGAAAGGCAGCGGCGGCACCGCGUCCGGUCCUCGAGCGUAUGGGGCUUUGUCACCCGCUCUGUAGGCCCGGCCGGCGCUUGCCGAUCAACCCAAAUUUUUAUCCAGGUUGACCUCGGAUCAGGUAGGGAUACCCGCUGAACUUAAGCAUAUCAAUAAGCGGAGGAA
rnacentral:misc_RNA from 1 species